UACGAAGGGGGCUAGCGUUGUUCGGAAUUACUGGGCGUAAAGGGCGCGUAGGCGGUGUGUCAAGUCAGGCGUGAAAGCCCCGGGCUCAACCUGGGAACCGCGCUUGAGACUGGCACGCUAGAGUUCGGGAGAGGAUGGUGGAAUUCCCAGUGUAGAGGUGAAAUUCGUAGAUAUCGGGAGGAACACCAGUGGCGAAGGCGGCUUCCUGGCCUGUUCUUGACGCUGAGGCGCGAAAGCUAGGGGAGCAAACGGG
rnacentral:rRNA from 1 species